rnacentral:lncRNA from 1 species
UAAAACACUUAGAAUUUGUAUAAACAUUGUUUCCCUUUUAGAACCUUGUCUAGAACUGGGGGGAAAAUGUGAUGUGCUUGCUUGAGGAUACUAUAUUUUUGGGCCUUGGUGGUUUUUAAAGGAGAGGCUUGUUAUAUGAGGAAUUUAUGAUUUGGGUAUAGGGUUAGAUUGAAUAAAUUCAAUAAAUUCUGAGGUACCUUUCAUAUGUUGUAAUAAGCACUGGUCUCAGAGUUAGGACCUGGGUUUGAGUACCAGUAUUUCCAGUCUGUGGCCCUGGAUUAAACCAACUUUCUGAUCCUCAGUUCCCUCAUGUAUAAAAAGGGGAUAAUACUUCGGUUAUUUACUUCAUUAGACUAUUAUCAGGAUCUCAUGAAAUGUAAUAGAUGUAAAAGCACUUUGAAAACAGGAAAGCACUCUCUACAUAUGUAGUGAUUAUCUUUAUUGUCACUCCUGUUUACAUCUAUUUUAGCAAUGCUAGAUGAACAGCAGUGACACACUGAUAAGUCCCUCCCAUCUGCUUACUCCAUAAAAGAUUGUGCUAAUGUAAACUAUUUUUUAAAAAGUAAGUUUAUUAUUUGCUUCAUAGAGGCAGUGUGGGGUUAGUGGGUAGAGUUGGCCUUGUCAGGAGGACUUGAAUUCAAACACUGGCUGUGUCACCCUGUUCUAAACCAUCUCUGGUAACCCUCAAAGACUUGUUAGGGAACUUUUGUUGAUUCUUUUAGUACUGGUAGUUUGUUUUUAGGAGUUCUCUACAAUCAAUGAAAUCUAUGUUAUCCUGAUUUUGUAUUUUAGGAUUGUUUAGAGAUGCAUUUUACUAAUAAUAAAACACCCUUGGACACAUUCAGACUUUAUUUAGUACUUGCCUUAAGUCACAAGGGCAAUACUUUAUGAUAAGUAAAAUGGUAAAAGGAUCCUAGGGAGUAGGGGAAAUGAGGUCACUUAAAAUUAGUGAACCCAAUUCACAGCAAAGGACUGGGCAUUCUGAUGAAACAGGGUGAUUUGGAGGGAUUGGGGAGGAAAGGAAACAAGGCUCUGUGGGGAUUGGGAUAACUGUUACUGAAGGACCCAAUGACUAGAGUAUGGAUAUUGAAGUAGGAGAGAAAGAGGUAAACAAACAAACCAAAAAAGUCAACUUUUUUUUAUUCUAUAUAUGUGGCAAUGAAUUUUGGCAUUUAAUUGUAUUUAUUUUCAAAAUGUGGAAAUUUCUCUUAACUUUGCAAUUCUGUAUGGUGAUGCUUUUACUUAACAUAGAAAAAUCAAUUUAAUUUUUGUUCUUGAAUAAUUUCCUG